rnacentral:tRNA from 1 species
GCGCCAGUAGCUCAAUGGAUAGAGCAACAGCCUUCUAAGCUGAAGGUUGAAGGUUCGAAUCCUUCCUGGCGCGCCA